AGUAAGGUCAGCUAAAUUAAGCUCUUGGGCCCAUACCCCAGAUAUGUUGGUUAAACUCCUUCCUUUACUA
rnacentral:tRNA from 2 species